UACGUAGGGCGCAAGCGUUAUCCGGAAUUAUUGGGCGUAAAGAGCGCGCAGGCGGUCGUCCAAGUCGCGUGUGAAAGCCCCCCGGCUCAACUGGGGAGGGUCACGCGAUACUGGUCGACUCGAAGGCAGGAGAGGGUAGUGGAAUUCCAGGUGUAGCGGUGAAAUGCGUAGAUAUCUGGAGGAACACCGGUGGCGAAGGCGGCAUCCUGGACCGGUAUUGACGCUGAGGCGCGAAAAGCUAGGGGAGCAAACGGGG
rnacentral:rRNA from 1 species